UAACACCUUCUCGCGGAUUAACAGAAUUCCUUACCCUGAUUUCUGAUUCGCAGAUUGUAAUAACAGAGUCAAAUCUUUUUCUCGAUUUGAGAUUUAAACCGGUGACUUGGGACACCAUUAAUUAUCCCAAGUGGCGACUUUGAAAUCUCUUAAAUAACCGAAUCCCAUUCAGUCGUCCUUAAAUUGGAAAAACUCCCUUAUAUAAGCCUUUCGUGGGUUAUAGUGUUAAAAAGUAGGUGUGACAGCUCCGGUGAUUCUGCUGGGGAUCGAACCUAGAAUCUCUGGUUCAGGGUUCAAGAAUUCGAGAUUUAAAUAAUUGUUGUAUCUGGCCUUAUUAUUAUCUGAUUUUAUUGCAUAAUUGUACCCAAUGUGUCAAAUGUUGUUUUACCGCUUUAAUAUUAUAUGAACUGUACAUAUAAACUGCUACGAAACCCUUCUGUUUUUAUCUUCAUGGAUGUGCUCGCUAGUCGACACUCCCUAUUCUGUUAGUG
rnacentral:lncRNA from 1 species